rnacentral:rRNA from 1 species
AUUGAACGCUGGCGGCAUGCUUUACACAUGCAAGUCGAACGGUAACAGCACUUCGGUGGCUGACGAGUGGCGAACGGGUGAGUAAUGUAUCGGAACGUGCCCAGGUAGUGGGGGAUAACUACUCGAAAGAGUGGCUAAUACCGCAUGAGAUCUCUGGAUGAAAGCGGGGGACCGUAAGGCCUCGCGCUACUGGAGCGGCCGAUAUCAGAUUAGGUUGUUGGUGGGGUAAAGGCCUACCAAGCCUGCGAUCUGUAGCUGGUCUGAGAGGACGACCAGCCACACUGGGACUGAGACACGGCCCAGACUCCUACGGGAGGCAGCAGUGGGGAAUUUUGGACAAUGGACGCAAGUCUGAUCCAGCAAUGCCGCGUGCAGGACGAAGGCCUUCGGGUUGUAAACUGCUUUUGUACGGAACGAAAAGGUCUUUUCUAAUAAAGAAGGCCCAUGACGGUACCGUAAGAAUAAGCACCGGCUAACUACGUG